rnacentral:rRNA from 1 species
AACGAACGCUGGCGGCGUGUCUUAAGCAUGCAAGUCGAGCGGCAAGCGCAGCAAUGCGCCUAGAGCGGCGGACUGGUGAGUAACGCGUGGAUGAUCUACCUUGGGGUUGGGGAUAGCCAUUAGAAAUAGUGGGUAAUACCGAAUACGCUUCCAUGGCUACGGCCAUGGAAGGAAAGGCGCUACGGCGCCGACCUAAGAUGAGUCCGCGUCCCAUUAGCUAGUUGGUGAGGUAAUGGCCCACCAAGGCGAUGAUGGGUAGCCGGCCUGAGAGGGUGUACGGCCACACUGGGACUGAGAUACGGCCCAGACUCCUACGGGAGGCAGCAGCUAAGAAUAUUCCGCAAUGGACGAAAGUCUGACGGAGCGACGCCGCGUGGAUGACGAAGGCCGGAAGGUUGUAAAAUCCUUUUGUCGGGGAAGAAUAAGCGUGGGAGGGAAUGCCCGCGUGAUGACAUGAACCGGCGAAUAAGCCCCGGCUAACUACGUGCCAGCAGACCC